GACGAACGCUGGCGGCGUGCUUAACACAUGCAAGUCGAACGGAAAGGCCCUGCUUUUGUGGGGUGCUCGAGUGGCGAACGGGUGAGUAACACGUGAGUAACCUGCCCUUGACUUUGGGAUAACUUCAGGAAACUGGGGCUAAUACCGGAUAGGAGCUCCUGCUGCAUGGUGGGGGUUGGAAAGUUUCGGCGGUUGGGGAUGGACUCGCGGCUUAUCAGCUUGUUGGUGGGGUAGUGGCUUACCAAGGCUUUGACGGGUAGCCGGCCUGAGAGGGUGACCGGCCACAUUGGGACUGAGAUACGGCCCAGACUCCUACGGGAGGCAGCAGUGGGGAAUAUUGCACAAUGGGAGGAAGCCUGAUGCAGCCACGCCGCGUGCGGGAUGACGGCCUUCGGGUUGUAAACCGCUUUCGCCUGUGACGAAGCGUGAGUGACGGUAAUGGGUAAAGAAGCACCGGCUAACUACGUG
rnacentral:rRNA from 1 species